AGUGGAAUUGCUGGGUCAUAUGGUGAUUCCACUUUUAACAUUUUAAGGAACUGCCAGACUGUUUUCCAAAGUGGCGACAUCAUUUUACAUUCCCACAAGCAAU
rnacentral:pre_miRNA from 1 species